UACGGGGGGGGCAAGCGUUGUUCGGAAUUACUGGGCGUAAAGGGCCAGUAGGCGGCCAACUAAGUCCGACGUGAAAUCCCAAGGCUUAACCUUGGAACUGCGUCGGAUACUGGAUGGCUUGAAUUCGGGAGAGGGAUGCAGAAUUCCAGGUGUAGCGGUGAAAUGCGUAGAUAUCUGGAGGAAUACCGGUGGCGAAGGCGGCAUCCUGGACCGGCAUUGACGCUGAGGAGCGAAAGCUAGGGGAGCAAACGGG
rnacentral:rRNA from 1 species